rnacentral:rRNA from 1 species
AACGAACGCUGGCGGCAGGCCUAACACAUGCAAGUCGAACGCCCCGCAAGGGGAGUGGCAGACGGGUGAGUAACGCGUGGGAACGUACCUUUCGGUUCGGAAUAACCCGGGGAAACUCGGGCUAAUACCGGAUACGUCCUGCCCCUUAAACAAGGGUGGGAGAAAGAUUUAUCGCCGAAAGAUCGGCCCGCGUCGGAUUAGCUAGUUGGUGAGGUAACGGCCCACCAAGGCGACGAUCCGUAGCUGGUCUGAGAGGAUGANCA